GGACGCAGUCUGUAUUUUAUCAUCUCACACCCAAACAAAUGAGAGAGUAGCCUGUGAGAGACGAAACUGAUGUGGCGCCGCUUCACUUGACAGCGCGGGAAGGAUCACGGAAGAUCCAUCGAGAACAGAUAGACUACUAAUAACUGUAUGGAUGAACGUGCUUAAGAUCCAACACUGAGCCACAUCAUACCAAGCUAAGACGAAUGACGCAUCAUCAAGUUGAACCUCUGACUACAGAAUGCACAGUCCCAGGGGACAGAAACUGUGACACACUCAGCACAGUCAACCAUGAAUCAUAGUUGUGUGGGGUUUAUGAAGUGCAAUCUGCUCUCACGUCACAAUCGAGUUGCAUUGUGGGAUAUGGAACUGCCUGAAGCAUACAUCAGAGUAGGCUCACUCCCUCUGUCAAAAUCGAGGGAUUGAGGGUCUGUCAACAGAUACUUCCCUCACUCACUUAACGAAGUGGAACGGAUUUCCAAAAUGCCGGUGGGGAUUCCCCCAACGGGAAGUGCUUAGGGGAGUUGGCGAGUGGAAGUUAAAAGUGAAGUGGAACGCAACCAUAGAAGGAGUAGUAGCCAUGAGAGGGGGGGCUAGUUCUCCAUGGAAUUGAUCUUCCAGAACGAUUCCUAAACACUCCAGGAAUUAUAGUCAGUCUUUCUGUAAGCCCGCUGGCUGGAUUACCUGUGUUUAUACUGUGGAACAUUUCCAUUUGGAUUUGUAUUGGACACAUCAUCUUCACAUUGGAUUAUGCUACAAAGACACUGUACAACGCUGUGCUACCAGGAUGUUUGUUAAUGCGGUAAGAGCGAUCCAUUUAUUCCUUUAUUGGAGAGAAUAUCAGGUACACAGAGAGACCGAGACUCCAUUCAUGGUACACUGCUACUCCAGUUUCUGUGUGUGUGUGUGUGUGUGUGUGUGUGUAUAUACGGGGUUGGGGAGUAACGAAAUACAUGUAAUGGGAUUAUGUAUUUAAAAUACAAAAUAUAAGUAACUGUAUUCCACUACAGUUACAAUUUAAAUCAUUAGUAUUUAAAAUACAGUUACAUUAAAAAAGUAUUUUGAUUACUUUGCAUUUUAUUGUCAUUUGUUUCAUUUAAUAUUUAGUCCUUUCAGAUGGAAAAAAUUAUACAUAUAAAUGAUGCAAUCCAAAGUGCAUUUGAACAGCAGUGAAACACUUUCUUAUGAAGUGUUACAUUCAUACGAGCAGACAGAGAAGUACAUUUGAAGUUAGUUUGGAGAAAUAGAAAUAAACCUUGUGUAAAUUGUCAGCUUUACACUAAGCUAAAAUGCUAUUUCUAGCCAUUUCACAUGCACGUUACCAGGCACGAUCAUAUAUUUUUUUUUAUCAAGAAAAUUCACGUUGGAUCAUAAUUACUUUUUUCUAGUAAGACCUUUGAUAUUAGGGCAAAAAUCUUAUUCUUGAUCAUUUUUGUAUUGUUUUCCUGUAAAAAUAUCUAAAAAUCAUUAAAACAAGAUCAGUUUGAUUUAUCUUGUUUUAGAAACAACACUGCAUAAGAUAUUUAGGUUUUUCAGAGAAUGUAUUUUUAACAUGUGUAUUUUGUCUUACUGUACUGGCAGAGUUUUUAUAGUCAAAACAAGUGGAAAAAAAUCUACCGGUGCUGAAGAAGUAAUCCAAAGUAUUUAGAAUGCGUUACUGACCUUGAGUAAUCUAACGGAAUACGUUACAAAUUACAUUUUACAGCAUGUAAUCUGUAGUGGAAUACAUUUCUAAAGUAACACUCCCAACCCUGUAUGUAUAAUAUAUAUAUAUAUCAUCGGUGAAGGGAAAGGGUUGUGAUUUAUUGUUUAUUGUGCACAUGUGUUUUCUUUGUAUAAUACAACUUACUCUGGGAUUCACAAGUACUUGGUUUAUUCUCAUUAUUAAUUUGAUUCUCCAUCUCAUACAAGCAGAGGUGUAAAGAGUACCUGAAAACCAUACUUGAGUAAAAGUACAGAUACCUUACUGUAAAAAUGACUCCAUUACAAGUUACAAGUCACCAAUUCCAAUAUGACUUGAGUAAAAGUCUUAAAGUAUCCGAUUUUAAAAGUACUUAAGUAUUUUACUCAUACUGAAUGUAGGCUCAAAGAUGCACUAGUCCUCAACACCAAGAAAUAUGUCAGUGAAAAACAAGAAACGGUUUAUUUAUGAGGUUUUAUUUCCUAAUAUAGAAAUGAAAUUGGACACCUCAGUAUUUCAACAUGGCAGAACAAAACCCAAAUCAAACAAGUCAGUCUCAGUCAAACUCAAGUGUUCAAAAAAGGCAUAAGUAAAACAAUUUUUUCAAAAAGGUCUUUUCAGUAUACAAUGGACAAAUCAAAUAAAAAAAGUAAAAUCAAAUAUUCACAGCUGACUUUGAUGUACCUCUCAGUCUCAGAGGGGGGCAUAUUUUUAUUCAACUUCAACAAAAGCUGGUUCUCAAAGUUCUUGGAACUUAUUCUAGCUCUUUUUGGACUGAAAAUGAGGCCAGCACUGCUAAAAAGUCGCUCGCAAGCAGCAGAUGCAGGUAGGGGAGUGUUGAGCCUUAAUGACAACUUCAAUAGAGGUGAGAAGGUUUUCAGGACACCCAUGUCGUCACCAGCACA